rnacentral:rRNA from 1 species
UACGUAGGGUGCGAGCGUUACUCGGAAUUACUGGGCGUAAAGCGUGCGCAGGCGGUUUUGUAAGCCAGAUGUGAAAUCCCCGGGCUCAACCUGGGAAUGGCAUUUGGGACUGCAAGGCUUGAGUGUGGUAGGGGAGACUGGAAUUCCUGGUGUAGCGGUGAAAUGCGCAGAUAUCCUGAGGAACACCGGUGGCGAAAGCGGCGUGCUGGACACCUUCUGACGCUGAGGCGCGAAAGCCAGGGGAGCGAACGGG